GACGAACGCUGGCGGCGUGCUUAACACAUGCAAGUCGAACGGAAAGGCCCUGCUUGCAGGGUACUCGAGUGGCGAACGGGUGAGUAACACGUGGGUGAUCUGCCCUGCACUUCGGGAUAAGCCUGGGAAACUGGGUCUAAUACCGGAUAGGAGCCAUUUUUAGUGUGAUGGUUGGAAAGUUUUUUCGGUGUAGGAUGAGCUCGCGGCCUAUCAGCUUGUUGGUGGGGUAAUGGCCUACCAAGGCGGCGACGGGUAGCCGGCCUGAGAGGGUGGACGGCCACAUUGGGACUGAGAUACGGCCCAGACUCCGACGGGAGGCAGCAGUGGGGAAGAUUGCACGAUGGGCGCCAGCCUGAUGCAGCGACGCCGCGUGGGGGAUGACGGCCUUCGGGUUGAAAACUCCUUUCGCUAGGGACGAAGCUUUUUGUGACGGUACCUAGAUAAGAAGCACCGGCUAACUACGUG
rnacentral:rRNA from 1 species